rnacentral:rRNA from 1 species
UACGUAGGGUGCAAGCGUUAAUCGGAAUUACUGGGCGUAAAGCGCACGUAGGCGGCUCCGCAAGUCGGAUGUGAAAUCCCUCGGCUCAACCAAGGAAGUGCAUCCGAAACUGCAGAGCUUGAGUACCAAAGAGGAUCGCGGAAUUCCCGGUGUAGAGGUGAAAAUUCGUAGAUAUCGGGAGGAACACCAGUGGCGAAGGCGGCGAAUCUGGGGUG